UUUCUUCGGAGAGUUUGAUCCUGGCUCAGGAUGAACGCUGGCGGCGUGCCUAAUACAUGCAAGUCG
rnacentral:rRNA from 1 species